CACGUAGGAGGCGAGCGUUGUCCGGAAUCAUUGGGCGUAAAGAGCGCGCAGGCGGCUUGGCAAGUCGGGUGUGAAAUCCCGGGGCUCAACCCCGUGACUGCAUCCGAUACUGUCAGGCUAGAGGUAGGUAGGGGAGAUCGGAAUUCCUGGUGUAGCGGUGAAAUGCGCAGAUAUCUGGAGGAACACCGGUGGCGAAGGCGGCAUCCUGGACCGACACUGACGCUGAGGAGCGAAAGCCAGGGGAGCAAACGGG
rnacentral:rRNA from 1 species